rnacentral:rRNA from 1 species
UGCGUAGGCGGAAAAAUAAGUCAGUGGUGAAAUCUUGCAGCUUAACUGUAAAACUGCCAUUGAUACUGUUUUUCUUGAGUAUAGUUGAGGUAGGCGGAAUGUGUAAUGUAGCGGUGAAAUGCUUAGAUAUUACACAGAACACCGAUUGCGUAGGCAGCUUACUAAGCUAUAACUGACGCUGAGGCACGAAAGCGUGGGGAGCGAACAGGAUUAGAUACCCUGGUAGUCC